CCUUACGUGCGGAUAGAUGGCGCUGUGAUUCCCGACCACUGGCUGGACCCCAGCGCUGUGUGGGAGGUGAAGUGCGCUGACCUCUCCCUCUCUCCCAUCUACCCUGCUGCGCGGGGCCUGUGGAUAGUGACAAGGGCAUCUCCCUUCGCUUCCCUCGGUUUAUUCGAGUCCGUGAAGACAAGCAGCCGGAGCAGGCCACCACCAGUGCUCAGUGGCCUGUUUGUACCGGAAGCAAAGUCAGAUUCAGAACCAACAAGGCGAGGACUCAGGCUCUGACCCUGAAGAUACCUACUAAGCCCUCGCCCUCCUAGGGCCUGGGUACAGGGCAUGAGUUGGACGGACCCCAGGGUUAUUAUUGCCUUUGCUUUUUAGCAAAUCUGCUGUGGCAGGCUGUGGAUUUUGAGAGUCAGGGGAGGGGUGUGUGUGUGAGGGGGUGGCUUACUCCGGAGUCUGGGAUUCAUCCCGUCAUUUCUUUCAAUAAAUAAUUAUUGGAU
rnacentral:lncRNA from 1 species